UUGUGUUAAGGGCAAACCUGUCUAAAGGCAGGGACGCAAAGCCAUAGGGUCUAAGGUGCUUUUAGCGCUAUGACAGCCUGGCCGCCGCA
rnacentral:ncRNA from 1 species